rnacentral:rRNA from 1 species
CCUACGAGGGGCUGCAGUGAGGAAUAUUGGUCAAUGGGCGCGAGCCUGAACCAGCCAAGUAGCGUGAAGGAUGACUGCCCUACGGGUUGUAAACUUCUUUUAUAAAGGAAUAAAGUGAGGCACGUGUGCCUUUUUGUAUGUACUUUAUGAUUAAGGAUCGGCUAACUCCGUGCCAGCAGCCGCGGUAAUACGGAGGAUCCGAGCGUUAGCCGGAUUUAUUGGGUUUAAAGGGAGCGUAGAUGGGUUGUUAAGUCAGUUGUGAAAGUUUGCGGCUCAACCGUAAAAUUGCAAUUGAUACUGGCAGUCUUGAGUACAGUUGAGGUAGGCGGAAUUCGUGGUGUAGCGGUGAAAUGCUUAGAUAGCACGAAGAACUCCGAUUGCGAAGGCAGCUUACUAAACUGCCACUGACAUUGAUGCUCGAAAGUGUGGGUAUCAAACAGGAUUAGAUACCCCUGUAGUC